rnacentral:rRNA from 1 species
UACAGAGGUGGCAAGCGUUGUUCGGAAUUACUGGGCGUAAAGGGCGCGUAGGCGGCCUUCUAAGUCAGACGUGAAAUCCCCCGGCUUAACCUGGGAACUGCGUCUGAUACUGGGAGGCUAGAGUGCGGGAGAGGGAUGCGGAAUUCCAGGUGUAGCGGUGAAAUGCGCAGAUAUCAGGAGGAACACCGGUGACGAAGGCGGGUCUCUGGGCAACAACUGACGCUGAGGAGCGAAAGCGUGGGGAGCAAACAGG